AUUGAACGCUGGCGGCGUGCCUUACACAUGCAAGUCGAGCGGCAGCACGGGCUUCGGUCUGGUGGCGAGUGGCGAACGGGUGGGUAAUGUAUCGGAACGUACCUUAGAGUGGGGGAUAACGUAGCGAAAGUUACGCUAAUACCGCAUAUUCUGUGCGCAGGAAAGCAGGGGAUGGCAAGACCUUGUGCUCUUUGAGCGGCCGAUAUCAGAUUAGCUAGUUGGUGAGGUAAAAGCUCACCAAGGAGACGAUCUGUAGCGGGUCUGAGAGGAUGAUCCGCCACACUGGAACUGAGACACGGUCCAGACUCCUACGGGAGGCAGCAGUGGGGAAUUUUGGACAAUGGGGGCAACCCUGAUCCAGCCAUGCCGCGUGAGUGAAGAAGGCCUUCGGGUUGUAAAGCUCUUUCAGCCGGGAAGAAAUCGCAUAGGUUAAUACCCUGUGCGGAUGACGGUACCGGAAUAAGAAGCACCGGCUAACUACGUGCCAGCCGCCGCGGUAACAC
rnacentral:rRNA from 1 species